UACGGAGGGUGCAAGCGUUAAUCGGAAUUACUGGGCGUAAAGCGUGCGCAGGCGGUUUGUUAAGUCUGUCGUGAAAUCCCCGAGCUCAACUUGGGAAUUGCAAUGGAUACUGGCAGGCUGGAGUAUGGUAGAGGAAGGUGGAAUUCCCGGUGUAGCAGUGAAAUGCGUAGAGAUCGGGAGGAACACCAGUGGCGAAGGCGGCCUUCUGGACCAAUACUGACGCUCAUGCACGAAAGCGUGGGGAGCAAACAGG
rnacentral:rRNA from 1 species